rnacentral:rRNA from 1 species
GAUGAACGCUGGCGGCGUGCCUAAUACAUGCAAGUCGAGCGAACAGACGAGGAGCUUGCUCCUCUGACGUUAGCGGCGGACGGGUGAGUAACACGUGGAUAACCUACCUAUAAGACUGGGAUAACUUCGGGAAACCGGAGCUAAUACCGGAUAAUAUAUUGAACCGCAUGGUUCAAUAGUGAAAGACGGUCUUGCUGUCACUUAUAGAUGGAUCCGCGCAGCAUUAGCUAGUUGGUAAGGUAACGGCUUACCAAGGCAACGAUGCGUAGCCGACCUGAGAGGGUGAUCGGCCACACUGGAACUGAGACACGGUCCAGACUCCUACGGGAGGCAGCAGUAGGGAAUCUGCCGCAAUGGGCGAAAGCCUGACGGAGCAACGCCGCGUGAGUGAUGAAGGUCUUCGGAUCUUAAAACUCUGUUAUUAGGGAAGAACAAAUGUGUAAGUAACUAUGCACAUCUUGACGGUACCUAAUCAGAAAGCCACGGCUAACUACGUG